rnacentral:rRNA from 1 species
AGCGGCAGGCCUAACACAUGCAAGUCGAACGAGAAAGGGCUUCGGCCCCGGUACAGUGGCGCACGGGUGAGUAACACGUAGGUAACCUGCCCUUGAGUGGUGGAUAACAUUCCGAAAAGGAGUGCUAAUACAGCAUAAGACCACGGUUCCAUCAAGGAACAGGGGUCAAAGCGGGCCUCUUCAUGAAAGCUCGCGCUUGGGGAUGGGCCUGCGGCGCAUCAGCUAGUUGGUGAGGUAAUGGCUCACCAAGGCUAAGACGCGUAGCUGGUCUGAGGGGAUGAUCAGCCACACUGGAACUGAGACACGGUCCAGACUCCUACGGGAGGCAGCAGUGGGGAAUUUUGCGCAAUGGGCGAAAGCCUGACGCAGCGACGCCGCGUGGGUGAUGAAGGCCCUCGGGUUGUAAAGCCCUGUGGGGAGGGAUGAAUAAGGUAUGGCUAAUACCUAUACUGAUGACAGUACCUCCUUAGCAAGCACCGGCUAACUCUGUG